AACGUUUAGAACAUGGAGUUCCAACCUCCAAGGCCGCCUGGUGGAUGCGCACUGUGGGGCCAGCGAGGAGGACUCCGCGCCCUGGGGCCGCAGCAGCUGUCCACGGUGCUGAGCAUGAGCCCCACUCUCCACCCCCUCUCCACCCCCCCAGCGUCCCUCAAGCAGAAGCGAGCGCAGGCUGGGACUCACUGUCCACAGAGGGCGGGCUCGGGCCCCACUGAGGAUCCUCCCAGCAUUGCGGUUCCCCAAACCUAAAUUCUUCUUCCCGUCCUUUGGAUAAUGGUUUUAGGAUUGCAGGGAAAUGUUAUAAUUGAGGCUUGCGUUUGUCUGCUUGCUUCCUGGAAACAGAAGCCUCACCAAAACGGAAUAAAAGUGACAGAACCAUGAAAUGCCUGUCACUGAAAUAAAAAACUCUGGAGCAGCAGGUUGUGCCAGAAGGCAGGGAGGCUGGGCCUCCAGAGACCUGAGCUCCAGGCUUGCCCUGCUGCAGACUUUCUCAUUUGGGAUCUGUCCCUCCCUCUCUCCUCCCCACUUGUCAGGGAGGGUGCUCUGGUACUCAGUACCCCACGCUCUGCUGUUCAGGCCAACAUUGCAGACCUCUGCAGAGCACAGAGCUACACGGCUACCCUCACCAUGUGUGUAGUUUCCCUUCACUGCCUUGAGCCAAUGACACUUCUAAAGCACUUCUGUCAAUCCAAGAAGCAUUUGCUAGACAGGCACAUGGACUCUGCUAUGCACACAGUGUGUGUGGCGGGGAGGGAGAGACUGCAUAGGGAAUGAGGAGAUGUGCACCCUGUAGCACCCACACUGCAGCUCUGUUUUAUUUGAUCUACAUGCAAUCCAAGAAACAUCACCUUCUUCUACUCUCUGAGAUCAUGAUGACUAUUGUAUGUAUUUAAUACAUUUCAGAAGUUGGAAAACCUAAGAUCAGCAAUGUCUGUCAUGUCAAAAACUGAUUGGAAAUGAAACAAGGGAUCGGUAAGACCCAUAUAAAAAAAGAUGAUAUUCAAAGGAAACUAUUUGGUUUGAUGUUUGUUUUUAAGAGAUAUAAGAACAUUUGGAGGAAAAAAACAAUUUAUCACUAAUUUAGGUAAGGGAAUUCCAUUGGUUUCAACCAAAUCUUAUAGUAAAAGCCCCUACAGAGUUUUCAAGGGACCAUUUAAUGAUAAUUUCACAGGACAAAGCAGAAGUUAUGAACAUGUGGCUAAGACAUCAAUUUGGGAGUUUGCAGAAAAAUUAUUUUCUAUGCAUUAGAAACUUCAUACCUUCAUCCCACCACCCUUGAUCUUUUUUUUUUUUAAGAUUUUCUAGUCAUUUUUAAUAAUGCACAUUUAUUUUUGGCAGGUCGUAAGCUAUGUUUGUGGACAUAUGAAUUUCUAUUCUACUUUUCUUUUGGAAUCUUAUUUCACAGACAGUUUUGGGUGUUACUUACUCAUGGUUUUUAGUAGCUACAUAGUAUGCCACCAGGUGUUGUUGUUUGCUAGCUAAUGCCUAUUCAUGGAUACUUAGAUUGUUUCUAAUAAGCAGGCUGUGAUAGCUAAUUUUAUGCAUCAAUACAGGAUGCCCAGAUACUCAGUUAAACAUUAUUCUACGUGUUUCUGUGAGGGAAUCUUUGGAUGAAAUUAACAUUUAAAUCAGUGGGUGUUGGGUAGAAUGCCCUCCAUAAUGUGGGUGGGUCUCCUCCUAUCAGUUGAAGCUGUGACCAGAACAAAAGACCAACUCUCCCCUAAAAGAGAGACUUUCUCCAGGCCGCCUUCUGACUUGAAAUGGAACAUCAACUUGUCCUGUCUGCACACUCAAAUAGAAAUGCCAGCUCUUCCUGGACCACCAGCCUGCUGCCCAUUAGACUGGAGCUACACCACUGUCUGUCCUGCAUCUCCAGCUUCACAGCCCACCUUGCAGACAUGGGUAUUGCCAGCCUCUGUAAUCAUGUGGCCAAUUCCUUCUAAUCACUCCUUCUACACACACACAUUCUAUUAGUCCCAUUUCUCUGAAAACCCUAAUACACAGGUGAUCCCUAGAAGUAGACUCUUUAGGAAGCUAGUAGAAUCAUAUUUGCUGCACUUGACAAUCUGAAAAUGUGUUUUUCUUUCUCAGCUAGAAGCAUCAUGGGGUGACACUUAAGGUGGACCAUUCUCUUGCACAUGGAGUGACACUUUGUGACUGAUUGAAUCCAUCAGAAAGGAGUUUAGUUUUAUUUCACAACAUAAUAUUAUAUUACUACCCAAUAUUUCCUACUUCUUUGAGUAUUCUGCUUCAAGUGUGCUUAUUCUGAUAAUAAGUUAUUAAAAUGUAAUUGCAAGGGUGCCUAGGUGGCUCAGCGGGUAAAGCAUCUGCCUUCAGCUGAGAUCAUAAUCCCAGGGUCCUGGGAUUGAAUCUUGCAUCAGGCUCCCUGCUCAGCUGAGAGCCUGCUUCUCCUUUUCCUCCCUGCUUGUGCUCUCUCUUGAUAUUCUGUCUCUUUCUCAAAUAAAUAAAUAUUUUUUAAAAAUAAGUAAAAUGUACUUGCAGUUUGAAAGUAAGAAGAAGUGAAAAGCAGUGGUCUUCUGAGGUUAAGUGUCACAAAGAAGAAAGAUAUGGUUUGUUUUUUAUGACCUUCUAGAUAUCUAAUGAUAAGGCUGAGGGUGGGGUUUGGUGGGAGAAAAGGCAGACAACACUGGCAAAAAAUGUGAAGAAAUAGGGAAUUGAAGGAGACAAGUAACAAAGAGUGAUAAAGAGAAUAGCAGAGCAAAAGCACAUCCCUUGCGGUUCGGCUUUGAACAAGAUGAAGGCAUGACAUGGUACUCUGAUAGUAAGGAGGAAGCCAAGACCUGGCAGGUAGAGGAGAAGACAAGAGGCAGGUGAGGACCUUGCCCCCUCUGCCUGGGCUGUGAGAAGUCAUCACAGGUAGAGUGAAGGCCACAAAUGGUCACAGGCAGGCUUGAUGUCUUCCUUUUUGGCAAGCAUAACUGAUUCUGAUAAUUAAGCUUUUCUUUCUAACACAUAAUUCUGCAGCCUGGAAGCCAAUGAACUAGAUGUGGUCCAUACUAGGGAUUGUUAAAGAAGCUAAGGAGUUUGAACCUGGAAAAACCCGGGGCUGACGUGACAGCUGUCUUCAAAUAUCCAAAGACUCUCCAUAUGGAGGAGAAGAUGCACUUCUGACCAAUGGACAGCAUUCACAGAGAAACAGAAUUUGGCUCAGUAUAAGGGACAUUUUCUAAUAAUUAAAACUGUCACACAAUGGAGUGGAUAAGCUGGGAAAUGUUGAGACCCCUACACACUGGAAGUGUUCAGGCUGGCAUACCAUCUGUCAGAGAUGCUAUAAAACCAGAUGACUCACUUUUAAAAAUAACAUUUUGUAAUAAUUAUUAUAGUAGAAUAUGUCCACAGAUGACUAUUUGAAAAAUAAAGUGUUCAGAAGAAAAGAAGCAUCCUUAACCUCACCAUCCAUAGCUGACCGCUGUUAACAAUUUGACAUGUUUCCAUUUGAUACCUUUUUCUAUACAAUAAAAAUCUACACAAGGACUUUGUAAAAGUAUACAUAGCUUACACAUCAUAUGGUUUUCACAAAAUACAUAUGUACUGUGCAUA